rnacentral:rRNA from 1 species
GAUGAACGCUGGCGGCGUGCUUAACACAUGCAAGUCGAACGAAGCACUUUAUUUGAUUUCCUUCGGGACUGAUUAUUUUGUGACUGAGUGGCGGACGGGUGAGUAACGCGUGGGUAACCUGCCUUGUACAGGGGGAUAACAGUUGGGAACGGCUGCUAAUACCGCAUAAGCGCACAGCAUCGCAUGAUGCAGUGUGAAAAACUCCGGUGGUAUAAGAUGGACCCGCGUUGGAUUAGCUAGUUGGUGAGGUAACGGCCCACCAAGGCGACGAUCCAUAGCCGACCUGAGAGGGUGACCGGCCACAUUGGGACUGAGACACGGCCCAAACUCCUACGGGAGGCAGCAGUGGGGAAUAUUGCACAAUGGGCGAAAGCCUGAUGCAGCGACGCCGCGUGAGCGAAGGAGUAUUUCGGUAUGUAAAGCUCUAUCAGCAGGGAAGAUAAUGACGGUACCUGACUAAGAAGCACCGGCUAAAUACGUG